rnacentral:tRNA from 1 species
GUGGCAAAAACGGUUUGCAUUUAGCUGCUAGCUGAAAGGUUGGUGGUUUGAAUCCACCC